CACCUUUUGUAAAUCUGAAUAUCUUUCUGGACAUGCCUGGCAUAUUCAGGUUUGAGGAUUGAUCUUUUUCUUUCCUUACAUUUUCAGGUUUAUGUUUUUCAUAUACCCCAAAGUAUGUUAUAGAAUGUUAUAAACGGGCCUUUGUGCCUAUAAAUUUAUACAACUUUCAGCAACGGAUCUCUUGGCUCUCGCAUCGAUGAAGAACGCAGCGAAAUGCGAUAAGUAAUGUGAAUUGCAGAAUUCAGUGAAUCAUCGAAUCUUUGAACGCACCUUGCGCUCCUUGGUAUUCCGAGGAGCAUGCCUGUUUGAGUGUCAUUAAUAUAUCAACCUCUUCAGCUUUUUGCAUGUUGAGUUGUUGGAUGUGGGGGUAUUUUUGCUGGACUCUAGAAUCUGAGGUCAGCUCCCCUAAAAUGUAUCAGCGAAACAAUUUGUUUACCGCUCAUUGGUGUGAUAACUAUCUACGCUAUUGACGGUGAAAGCACGUUUAGCUUCUAACAGUCCAUUAGCUUGGACAACCUCUUAUUAAUGUG
rnacentral:rRNA from 1 species